GCAGAGUAGGUCUGUGUGCGUUAAGUGCCAGCCGGACAGGGAGUUGCCGGCAGGACGAAGAAACUGAAAACAGCAGUUUCGCGGUGCACGGACCGCAUCCCGCUGC
rnacentral:ncRNA from 1 species